rnacentral:rRNA from 1 species
UGACUGAGUGGCGGACGGGUGAGUAACGCGUGGGUAACCUGCCUCAUACAGGGGGAUAACAGUUAGAAAUGACUGCUAAUACCGCAUAAGCGCACAGUGCUGCAUGGCACAGUGUGAAAAACUCCGGUGGUAUGAGAUGGACCCGCGUCUGAUUAGCUAGUUGGUGGGGUAACGGCCUACCAAGGCGACGAUCAGUAGCCGGCCUGAGAGGGUGAACGGCCACAUUGGGACUGAGACACGGCCCAAACUCCUACGGGAGGCAGCAGUGGGGAAUAUUGCACAAUGGGGGAAACCCUGAUGCAGCGACGCCGCGUGAGCGAAGAAGUAUUUCGGUAUGUAAAGCUCUAUCAGCAGGGAAGAAAAUGACGGUACCUGACUAAGAAGCACCGGCUAAAUACGUGCCAGCAGCCGCGGUAAUACGUAUGGUGCAAGCGUUAUCCGGAUUUACUGGGUGUAAAGGGAGCGUAGACGGUUGUGUAAGUCUGAUGUGAAAGCCCGGGGCUCAACCCCGGGACUGCAUUGGAAACUAUGUAACUAGAGUGUCGGAGAGGUAAGCGGAAUUCCUAGUGUAGCGGUGAGAUGCG